GACGAACGCUGGCGGCGUGCCUAAUACAUGCAAGUCGAGCGGACUGAUUUGGGGCUUGCUCCAAUGAUGUCAGCGGCGGACGGGUGAGUAACACGUGGGUAACCUGCCUGACAGGCUGGGAUAACGCUUGGAAACGAGUGCUAAUACCUGAUAGGCUGCUUGGUCGCAUGACCUUGCAGGGAAAGAAGCUAUCGCUUCACUGUCAGAUGGACCCGCGGCGCAUUAGCUAGUUGGUGAGGUAACGGCUCACCAAGGCGACGAUGCGUAGCCGACAGGAGAUGGUGACCGGCCACACGGGGACUGCGACACGGCCCAGACUCCGACGGGAGGCAGCAGUAGGGAAUCUUCCACAAUGGGCGCAAGCCUGAUGGAGCAACGCCGCGUGAGUGAUGAAGGCCUUCGGGUUGUAAAACUCUGUCUUCUGUGACGAACAAUGCACAGAUAUUAACUGUAUUUGUGUUGAUAGUACCCGAAGAGGAAGAGACGGCUAACUCUGUGCCAGCCGCCGCCGUAAUAC
rnacentral:rRNA from 1 species